rnacentral:rRNA from 1 species
AACGAACGCUGGCGGCAUGCCUAACACAUGCAAGUCGAACGAGACCUUCGGGUCUAGUGGCGCACGGGUGCGUAACGCGUGGGAACCUGCCCUUAGGUUCGGAAUAACUCCCCGAAAGGGGUGCUAAUACCGGAUAAUGUCUUCGGACCAAAGAUUUAUCGCCUUUGGAUGGGCCCGCGUUGGAUUAGCUAGUUGGUAGGGUAAAAGCCUACCAAGGCGACGAUUCAUAGCUGGUCUGAGAGGAUGAUCAGCCACACUGGGACUGAGACACGGCCCAGACUCCUACGGGAUGCAGCAGUGGGGAAUAUUGGACAAUGGGCGAAAGCCUGAUCCAGCAAUGCCGCGUGAGUGAUGAAGGCCUUAGGGUUGUAAAGCUCUUUUACCCGGGAUGAUAAUGACAGUACCGAGAGAAUAAGCUCCGGCUAACUCCGUG